UACGAAGGGUGCAAACGUUGCUCGGAAUCAUUGGGCGUAAAGCGCACGUAGGCGGCUUCGAAAGUCGGAUGUGAAAUCCCAUGGCUCAACCAUGGACGUGCACCCGAAACUGCGAGGCUUGAGUACUGAAGAGGAUCGCGGAAUUCCCGGUGUAGAGGUGAAAUUCGUAGAUAUCGUUUGGAACGCCAAUGGUGAAAACAGGUAGCUGGGAGUGUGCCGACGCUGAGACACGAAAGCCAGGGGAGCGAACGGG
rnacentral:rRNA from 1 species